rnacentral:lncRNA from 1 species
UUAUGGGUAGACAACAAGUGUAACGCAACCAUUGGAUAUAUAUUUAUAAACUAUAAAAUAUAGAUAUUGUAAUAGAUCUAAGCCUAUUUCCAGUAAGAAACAUAAGCAUUCAACUUUCAAAUAACAAGUUAUCACCUGUUAAAGAAGAAAGCCUAGGAAGCACUGACAAACCUAGUACAUCUAAAGAGUUUUGAGAUGGAUUUUCCGGAACAUUAUUUGCACCUAAGGGAAGUGUUAAAGUGUCUGAGUAUUCACAAUUUAACAGCCAAUGUAGAGAAGAUUAAGUUUUGUUUUAGUGCAAUAAAAUUCAUAAGCCAUAUUGUGAACAAAAAUGAAUUAAACAUUGAUCCAGGUAGAACUGUAAACAUUCAACAUAGUACUAGGUUUAUUGGCAUGACUUCUUAUUUUUCAAAAUGUAUACAUAAUUAUGUGGAAAUAGCUGCUCCACUGAAUGCUAUGCGAAAGAAAAAUGCGGAAUUUGUCUGGACUGAGGAGUGUGAUUGAGCUCAUGCUUAUUACAAAAGGAUGAGAACGGCGAGAUGAAGGUGAUAGCCUAUUAUUCAAGAAAAUUUAAUUAAGAUGUGUUGAAGUCAGCCUAUGUUGUGCCAAUUCACAAAUCAGGACCUAUCGAUGUGGCAUUCAACUAUAGACCAGGUCUCGAUCCUUUCCACUCUGUCAAAGAUUUUUGAGGACUUAUUUCUUGAUUCGAUCAAGUACAGAGGGGCUGAUUUGAUAUGUCCACGGCAGCAUGGCUUCACAGCAGGUACCUCGAAUAGGUAAGGUCCAGGAGGCAGUGGUCAGCAGUGAAGGGGACUUUGGCAAUCACCAACUUUAUCCUAACUGAACAUGUGUUUAUUUUCAAUUACCUUUGUAACAAUAUUAAAACUUAGGAGUGAUUUUAAAUGUACCUAUAUUGCAAUGUUUAACCAGUUCUAAUGGUUUUCAGAAAUAUUUUUUGUUUAAUUUACUUUAUGUUGAGUUUCAACCAUUGAAAAACUAUUUGGGAAUUUUGUAAUUCAGAUUAGAUGUUUAAAGUUGUAAUAAAUAACAUUUGGUACUUA